ACUGCUGCAGGAGGAGAAAACAUCGCCGUUUGUGACAAUGGCUGAGAUCACGUGCGAGCGCGCUUAAAGCGGUGUUCAGCCUUCGGGAACCAUUUGAGUCUGGUUUAAGUGAGGAAGAAAGCUGCAGCUGGCUUUGAGACUUUGGCCUCCAAGUCCAGAGUGCACGCGAUCAACAUGGGGCCCGACGGCGGCCAAUCGCACACCAUGUGCUCAGCGAGUUCCGCCCAACCACCUCAUGAGAAACACCGACCAUUCUGAAAACAACGGAGGACCCCGCAGUGAAAUCGACAGAACACAGGACGUCCUAUGAUGCACAGUAACAGUGAGGGGUGAACAUCUGCAGCAAAGAUGGCCGACUAGUAGGGGGUUCUCAGUGAACUUACUUCAGUGUCAGUGGACAAACUGCACGCAUGCAACCAAAUCACCCUAAAAUGCCAGAUUAUCUCGAUGACACAAACAAACAGGAAAUGGUGAUAUGAAGCAAGGGCAGCUGUUUCAGAUCAAGGCCCAUGGGAGACGCUCAGUAUACUGCCAGUGGAGGAGCCUUCAGUCUGGCUCCAAGCAAGCCACUCUGCAUCAUCAUUACCACCCUGCAGCUUCAAUUACAGGGCAUGAAUCAGCGUCGCACAAGAGCGAUGCCUGGAGGAGCCUUUAUUUUGAGAAGCCUGGUGCUGCUAGUGCUUCAAGUACUCAUUCACUGACUCCACCACAGAGAUGACUGCUGCCAUACAAUAAAGGUGGAGGACAGGCAUCCUGAGCUACAGCAAUAAUCAGAGACGGUAUAAGUUUCCUAUCCAGCAGUGAGCCUCGGUGGAGGUGCUGAACAGAGACCUGAGGCUGACAGUAACCCGCUCAUUAUCCACGGUCACCGAUAGAAUCUGCCUUGUAAUUAUGUCUGAGUGAGGAUGUAUUGUGUUCACAUUAUACAACAAAUAAAAGCAAAGCACAGCUAAACACAGCACCAACGUUUCUACAGUAUAAGAGAUUCAAGUCAUUAACAAUCUUUAAUUACAUUGCAUUCGCAUUUUAAAGUGCAGGGGCUUCACACAUGGUGUCAGAUGAAGAGGAUGAUCAGAAUUAUUAUACAAUCAGUGGGUUAAUAAUUAUUGAAUCACUACACUUCUGAGCCAUAAUGAAUUUUAUUUUACUUGUAAACGGUUUUAAACGGUGUAAACUGUUUUUUUUGUGUUUGCCUUUAAAAAAAAAAAAAAGAAAUAAAUGAUGAUAGUAGUGGACCUCCAAUGGUGCAGAGAACAGACUAAGUUCUAGCAGUCAAGCUCAAGCUUCUAAAUCCUCUAUAAUCCCGUCUACAUAUAAACUCCGGGGCACAGGCUUACGUACUGCAACAUUCAAUAAUGUGGAAUAACUUGACAGAUCUCUGAUGCCUAAUAAUCCACCGCCGGCUCCUCAAUUUGUUCACCAUGGCCACACACACAGAAUGCACAAGAUAUAAACCAUAUGUACAAGUUGAGGCUAGUAGAAGAGCAGAAAGAACUUCAGGUACUUUGAUACUGUUACCUCUGUGUACAGUAUAUGAGGAGAACGAACAGCCGAUCCCA